rnacentral:rRNA from 1 species
UUAUCGGAGAGUUUGAUCCUGGCUCAGGACGAACGCUGGCGGCGUGCCUAAUACAUGCAAGUCGAGCGGACAGAUGGGAGCUUGCUCCCUGAUGUUAGCGGCGGACGGGUGAGUAACACGUGGGUAACCUGCCUGUAAGACUGGGAUAACUCCGGGAAACCGGGGCUAAUACCGGAUGGUUGUCUGAACCGCAUGGUUCAGACAUAAAAGGUGGCUUUGGCUACCACUUACAGAUGGACCCGCGGCGCAUUAGCUAGUUGGUGAGGUAACGGCUCACCAAGGCGACGAUGCGUAGCCGACCUGAGAGGGUGAUCGGCCACACUGGGACUGAGACACGGCCCAGACUCCUACGGGAGGCAGC